UACGUAGGGUGCAAGCGUUAAUCGGAAUUACUGGGCGUAAAGCGUGCGCAGGCGGUUUUGUAAGUCUGUCGUGAAAUCCCCGGGCUUAACCUGGGAAUGGCGAUGGAGACUGCAAGGCUAGAGUUUGGCAGAGGGGGGUAGAAUUCCACGUGUAGCAGUGAAAUGCGUAGAGAUGUGGAGGAACACCGAUGGCGAAGGCAGCCCCCUGGGUCAAAACUGACGCUAAUGCACGAAAGCGUGGGGAGCAAACAGG
rnacentral:rRNA from 1 species